CACCGCCAUAAAAGAGUCCGCCGCCAACAAAGUUGAAAAAGCGCAGCUCAAGUGGAGCAGCCUCCAGUCGGCGGAAAUGUUCGUAUAUGGGGCAACGACCCUGGGUCACUGCGACUGACCAGUGAAGAGGAUUCCGUGAGGGAGGUGCCGACAGGUGUAGUGUCCUUCAAGUGGCAGGGAUGAUCCCCCGGAACACCAACGCUAAUUAAAGACGGUGGAAAAAGUUAUUGUGAUAUCAUGGUGAAACUGGAAAGAUCUAAUGUUCUCUUCUACAUAAAUAAAGGAUUGAAAGGAUGUUUUCCCAUUAAAAUUUAGGUGCCAAAAUAAAUGUCGACUAGUUUAACCAUUUUUAAGACUUGAGGCGAUGGGAAACAUCUGCGGAGGGUCGCUGCGUCCAGUUUCCUUUCCUUUCUGCACUGAAGUGGAAAAUUUACUUAUACAUUUUUUUAUAUUUAUUUAAUUUUUUUCUCCGUGUACAUUAUAGUUUAUAAGCCAUAACUACCUGUUUUUCGCACGUCAACAAAUAUACUUUUAAUAAAAAAU